rnacentral:lncRNA from 1 species
UGCUAUGUGGAAUUACUAAUUCAUUUUAUUUAUAUCAACAACUUGCGACUUGGUAAACCAACAGCAUAUUUAUGGCUUGCCAAACCAUGAAACGAUCUAUGCUACGGUCAUGCCAACAAUAGUGGUCUUACAUGUUAACUAUGGCCACGGUUGUACUUUGUUAAAAGUGACUUCUACAAUUAUAUCAUGUCACCACUUUCGUCAGAGGGUAUGCCGCAGUCAUCCACAAGGAGCGGUCCU